rnacentral:rRNA from 1 species
GUAGGUGGCAAGCGUUGUCCGGAAUUAUUGGGCGUAAAGCGCGCGCAGGCGGUCCUUUAAGUCUGAUGUGAAAGCCCACGGCUCAACCGUGGAGGGUCAUUGGAAACUGGGGGACUUGAGUACAGAAGAGGAAAGCGGAAUUCCAAGUGUAGCGGUGAAAUGCGUAGAGAUUUGGAGGAACACCAGUGGCGAAGGCGGCUUUCUGGUCUGUAACUGACGCUGAGGCGCGAAAGCGUGGGGAGCAAACAGGAUUAGAUACCCUGGUAGUCCACGCCGUAAACGAUGAGUGCUAAGUGUUAGGGGGUUUCCCGCCCCCUUAGCGCUGCAGCUAACGCAUUAAGCACUCCGCCUGGGGAGUACGGCCGCAAGGCUG